rnacentral:rRNA from 1 species
UACGAAGGGGCCUAGCGUUGUUCGGAUUUACUGGGCGUAAAGCGCGCGUAGGCGGAUCGCUAAGUCAGGGGUGAAAUCCCAGGGCUCAACCCUGGAACUGCCUUUGAUACUGACGAUCUGGAGAUCGGGAGAGGUUGGUGGAAUUCCGAGUGUAGAGGUGAAAUUCGUAGAUAUUCGGAGGAACACCAGAAGCGAAGGCGGCCAACUGGACCGAUACUGACGCUGAGGCGCGAAAGCGUGGGGAGCAAACAGG